AAUAGGAUUCCCUCAGUAAUGGCGAAUGAACAGGGAUCAGCUCAGCAUGGAAAUUGGGGCCCUCGGCCUUGAAUUGUAGUCUCGAGAUGCAUCGCCAAUGGAGGCGCAGAUGUAAGCCUCUUGGAAAAGAGCAUCAACGAGGGUGAGAGUCCCGUUUGUCAUCUGCAGUCCCCCAUGCACGGCGUGCCUUCUAAGAGUCGCGUUCCUCGGAUUGGAGCGUCAAUUGGGUGGUAAAUUUCAUCUCAAGCUAAAUAUUGGUUCGAGACCGAUAGCAAACAAGUACCAUGAGGGAAAGGUGAAAAGGACUUUGAAAAGAGAGUUAAAAGUGCCUGAAAUUGCUGAAAGGGAAGCGAAUGGAACCAGUGUUGCUUGGCGAGAUUGUCGUACGCAUUCGCGUGUGGUGGUUCUUGCCUUGUGUGUCAACGCCAGUUCGCGAUCGAGGAAAACUCCAGGGACAUGGUAGCCUACCCCUGGGUGGGUGAAUGUGCUUGGUAGAACUCAUUUGCGGACUGUUUCCUUCGUGUCUGGUUGCAGUGCUGCUUGAUCCUGUGUUGGCGCUUGGGGGUGGGAGCUCGCUCCUCACACCCUGCCCUUCUAAGGUUCUCAGCGCUUCCCUGACACAUAGACGAUGACUAAAUGGUUCUAUUCGACCCGUCUUGAAACACGG
rnacentral:rRNA from 1 species